rnacentral:rRNA from 1 species
AGAACUUAGCAGAGAUGCUUUGGUGCCUUCGGGAACUCUGAGACAGGUGCUGCAUGGCUGUCGUCAGCUCGUGUUGUGAAAUGUUGGGUUAAGUCCCGCAACGAGCGCAACCCUUAUCCUUUGUUGCCAGCGAUUCGGUCGGGAACUCAAAGGAGACUGCCAGUGAUAAACUGGAGGAAGGUGGGGAUGACGUCAAGUCAUCAUGGCCCUUACGAGUAGGGCUACACACGUGCUACAAUGGCGCAUACAAAGAGAAGCGACCUCGCGAGAGCAAGCGGACCUCAUAAAGUGCGUCGUAGUCCGGAUUGGAGUCUGCAACUCGACUCCAUGAAGUCGGAAUCGCUAGUAAUCGUAGAUCAGAAUGCUACGGUGAAUACGUUCCCGGGCCUUGUACACACCACCCGUCACACCAUGGGAGUGGGUUGCAAAAGAAGUAGGUAGCUUAACUUUCGGGAGGGCGCUUACCACUUUGUGAUUCAUGACUGGGGUGAAGUCGUAACAAGGUAAGCGUAGUGCU